GACAUAGCUCAGUGGUAGAGCAUCCGUCUUACAUGCAGAAGAUUCCAGGUUCGAUCCCUGGGAUCUCCA